AUCGAUGGACGAUGGCAAAAAAAGUUUUGGUAUAAAACCGUUCCCUAAUGAUCCUAAACUGGGGUCGAUCUACCUGGAUUGACCACUUCGCUACUGAAUAAACAAUGGGAAGUUGUGAUACCUUGCCUGCAAGAAAAACACAAGCGAUACAGACACCCAAGCUGUAGCCAGGUGCUGGGUAAUAUUGUAUUGAAUGAUACUUGCACGUCGUAAAAGACGACCGAUAAGACCAUCCCACUGUCUAGUCUCCGCAUCUUCAGUUCCAUGUUUGUUACCCGGGACGAGCUCAAAAGUGUAGGUGAAUUUGAGUAAUUGAGCCAGCUCUUCGAUGAGGUCUAUGGCAUAGCCCUCGUAAAGUUUAUUCGUCCCUUUAAAUGCCGUUCCCCUCAGAGAUCCGUCUGUUACUUCCAUUAUAUAAGGUUCGCCCUGAAAUCGAUCAAGAAUUCCCGUCGAUAAGUAUUGAGAGUGUAUGGUAUGUGUGGACAAGAAUUAACUGGCUGUCCAUAGCUCUGUUUAGCCCAUUUUGAAGGAUCUACCCCCGCGCUCACGAAACAUCACUGGCCCACUCAGACUUUCAUCAUCUGUCGUGAUCUAGAGGAAAAGGAACGGUCAAUAAAUUCUCGGGGUAUUGUUACAGGUAUAGGAUUCCGGUUCAAUAUUCAAUGCUUCGUCUUCAUCGAUCUUCAUUUGCUUUCUGAACAGCUUCAGAGCUUCAUUAAAAAUGAAAACUCCGUCAAAAAUUAUCGCGCUUUGCACCUACAAUCGGUGAGAAAAGAGGACUUUCAUUACUUGUGUAUAAAGUUUGAUUUUCCACACUUGUAUGAAAAUAUUCUAUUUUUCUUUCGUCAUGCUGUGGGUAAAAUUAUAAUAUUGUAACACUUGCUUAAACAAUUCACUUCUUGUGAUCGUUUAACGUACGGAAAGUCUUUACUUUCCACACGACGUACGUAAUGUUCUGGUGUUUGCAUAAAGCUUUUGUUUACACACUCGCAUA